rnacentral:rRNA from 1 species
UACGGAGGAUCCGAGCGUUAUCCGGAUUUAUUGGGUUUAAAGGGUGCGUGGGCGGCUUUUUAAGUCAGCGGUGAAAUUUUGCAGCUUAACUGUAACAGUGCCGUUGAUACUGGGGAGCUAGGAUUUGGUUGCUGUGGGUGGAAUGUGUGGUGUAGCGGUGAAAUGCUUAGAGAUCACACAGAAUAUCGAUUGCGGAGGCAGCUCACAAAGCCAAGAUUGACGCUGAGGCACGAAAGUGUGGGGAUCAAACAGGAUUAGA